rnacentral:rRNA from 1 species
GACGAACGCUGGCGGCGUGCUUAACACAUGCAAGUCGAACGCUGAAGCUUGGUGCUUGCACUGGGUGGAUGAGUGGCGAACGGGUGAGUAAUACGUGAGUAACCUGCCCUUGACUCUGGGAUAAGCCUGGGAAACUGGGUCUAAUACUGGAUACGACAUGCCACUGCAUGGUGGUGUGUGGAAAGGGUUUUACUGGUUUUGGAUGGGCUCACGGCCUAUCAGCUUGUUGGUGGGGUAAUGGCCUACCAAGGCGACGACGGGUAGCCGGCCUGAGAGGGAGACCGGGCUCAAGGGGCCUGAGACACGGCACAGACGCCGACGGGAGGCAACAGUGGGGAGGCUGGCAGAAUGGGGGGACGCCGGAUGCAGCGACGCCCCGUGAGGGAUGAAGGCCUACGGGUUGUGAACCUAUUUGAGGACGGAAGAAGCGAGAGUGACGGUACGUGAAGAAGAAGCGCCGGCUAACUACGUG